rnacentral:rRNA from 1 species
AGGGCGCACGGUGGAUGCCUUGGCACUAGAAGCCGAUGAAGGACGUGACUAACAACGAAAUGCUUUGGGGAGCUGUAAGUGAGCAAUGAUCCAGAGAUGUCCGAAUGGGGGAACCCGGCAGGUAAUGCCUGUCACUCAUUACUGUUAAGGUAAUGUAGAGGAAGACGCAGUGAACUGAAACAUCUAAGUAGCUGCAGGAAGAGAAAGCAAAAGCGAUUGCCUUAGUAGCGGCGAGCGAAACGGCAAGAGGGCAAACCGAAGAGUUUACUCUUCGGGGUUGUAGGACUGCAACGUGGACUUAAAGAUUAUAGAAGAACUACCUGGGAAGGUAGGCCAAAGAGAGUAAUAGCCUCGUAUUCGAAAUAGUCUUUAUACCUAGCAGUAUCCUGAGUACGGCGAGACACGAGAAAUCUCGUCGGAAUCUGGGAGGACCAUCUCCCAACCCUAAAUACUCUCUAGUGACCGAUAGUGAACCAGUACCGUGAGGGAAAGGUGAAAAGCACCCCGGGAGGGGAGUGAAAUAGAACCUGAAACCGUGUGCCUACAACAAGUUCGAGCCCGUUAAUGGGUGAGAGCGUGCCUUUUGUAGAAUGAACCGGCGAGUUACGAUAUGAUGCGAGGUUAAGUUGAAGAGACGGAGCCGUAGGGAAACCGAGUCUUAAUAGGGCGCAUUAGUAUCAUGUCGUAGACCCGAAACCAUGUGACCUACCCAUGAGCAGGUUGAAGGUGAGGUAAAACUCACUGGAGGACCGAACCAGGGCACGUUGAAAAGUGCUUGGAUGACUUGUGGGUAGCGGAGAAAUUCCAAACGAACUUGGAGAUAGCUGGUUCUCUCCGAAAUAGCUUUAGGGCUAGCGUCGAUGUUAAGUCUCUUGGAGGUAGAGCACUGUUUGGGUGAGGGGUCCAUCCCGGAUUACCAAUCUCAGAUAAACUCCGAAUGCCAAUGAGAUAUAAUCGGCAGUCAGACUGCGAGUGCUAAGAUCCGUAGUCGAAAGGGAAACAGCCCAGACCACCAGCUAAGGUCCCAAAAUAUAUGUUAAGUGGAAAAGGAUGUGGGGUUGCACAGACAACUAGGAUGUUAGCUUAGAAGCAGCUAUUCAUUCAAAGAGUGCGUAAUAGCUCACUAGUCGAGUGACCCUGCGCCGAAAAUGUACCGGGGCUAAAACAUAUUACCGAAGCUGUGGAUACCUUUAUAGGUAUGGUAGGAGAGCGUUCUAUGUGCGAAGAAGGUGUACCGUGAGGAGUGCUGGAGCGCAUAGAAGUGAGAAUGCCGGUAUGAGUAGCGAAAGACAGGUGAGAAUCCUGUCCACCGUAAGACUAAGGUUUCCAGGGGAAGGCUCGUCCGCCCUGGGUUAGUCGGGACCUAAGGAGAGACCGAAAGGUGUAUCCGAUGGACAACAGGUUGAUAUUCCUGUACUAGAGUAUAUAGUGAUGGAGGGACGCAGUAGGCUAACUAAACCAGACGAUUGGAAGUGUCUGGCCAAGCAGUGAGGUGUGAUAUGAGUCAAAUGCUUAUAUCUCUAACAUUGAGCUGUGAUGGGGAGCGAAGUUUAGUAGCGAAGUUAGUGAUGUCACACUGCCGAGAAAAGCUUCUAGCGUUAAUUAUACUCUACCCGUACCGCAAACCGACACAGGUAGUCGAGGCGAGUAGCCUCAGGUGAGCGAGAGAACUCUCGUUAAGGAACUCGGCAAAAUGGCCCCGUAACUUCGGGAGAAGGGGCGCUGACUGAUGGUCAGCCGCAGUGAAUAGGCCCAAGCAACUGUUUAUCAAAAACACAGCUCUCUGCUAAAUUGUAAGAUGAUGUAUAGGGGGUGACGCCUGCCCGGUGCUGGAAGGUUAAGAGGAGUGCUUAGCGUAAGCGAAGGUAUGAAUUGAAGCCCCAGUAAACGGCGGCCGUAACUAUAACGGUCCUAAGGUAGCGAAAUUCCUUGUCGGGUAAGUUCCGACCCGCACGAAAGGCGUAAUGAUUUGGGCACUGUCUCAACGAGAGACUCGGUGAAAUUUUAGUACCUGUGAAGAUGCAGGUUACCCGCGACAGGACGGAAAGACCCCAUGGAGCUUUACUGCAGUUUGAUAUUGAGUAUCUGUACCACAUGUACAGGAUAGGUAGGAGCCUAUGACCUCGGGACGCCAGUUUCGAGUGAGGCGUUGUUGGGAUACUACCCUUGUGUUAUGGCUACUCUAACCCAGAUAGGUUAUCCCUAUCGGAGACAGUGUCUGACGGGCAGUUUGACUGGGGCGGUCGCCUCCUAAAAGGUAACGGAGGCGCCCAAAGGUUCCCUCAGAAUGGUUGGAAAUCAUUCGCAGAGUGUAAAGGUAUAAGGGAGCUUGACUGCGAGAGCUACAACUCGAGCAGGGACGAAAGUCGGGCUUAGUGAUCCGGUGGUUCCGUAUGGAAGGGCCAUCGCUCAACGGAUAAAAGCUACCCUGGGGAUAACAGGCUUAUCUCCCCCAAGAGUUCACAUCGACGGGGAGGUUUGGCACCUCGAUGUCGGCUCGUCGCAUCCUGGGGCUGUAGUCGGUCCCAAGGGUUGGGCUGUUCGCCCAUUAAAGCGGCACGCGAGCUGGGUUCAGAACGUCGUGAGACAGUUCGGUCCCUAUCCGUCGCGGGCGUAGGAAAUUUGAGAGGAUCUGCUCCUAGUACGAGAGGACCAGAGUGGACUUACCGCUGGUGUACCAGUUGUUCUGCCAAGAGCAUCGCUGGGUAGCUAUGUAGGGAAGGGAUAAACGCUGAAAGCAUCUAAGUGUGAAGCCCACCUCAAGAUGAGAUUUCCCAUGAUUUU